UACGGGGGGCAAGCGUUGUUCGGAAUUACUGGGCGUAAAGGGCGCGUAGGCGGGAUGGCAAGUCGGUCGUGAAAUCCCUCGGCUCAACCGAGGAACGUCGAUCGAUACUGCUGUUCUUGAGGAUUGCAGAGGAGACUGGAAUUCCCGGUGUAGCGGUGAAAUGUGUAGAGAUCGGGAGGAACACCGGUGGCGAAGGCGGGUCACUGGGCAAUUCCUGACGCUGAGGCGGCGAAAGCGUGGGGAGCAAACGGG
rnacentral:rRNA from 1 species